rnacentral:rRNA from 1 species
GGAGGGCGCAAGCGUUGUUCGGAAUUACUGGGCGUAAAGCGCGUGUAGGCGGUCUGGCAAGUCGGUUGUGAAAUCCCCGGGCUCAACCCGGGAACUGCAUCCGAAACUUCCAGGCUAGAGUUUCGGAGAGGUAGGCAGAAUUCCCAAUGUAGGGGUGAAAUCCGUAGAUAUUGGGAGGAAUACCAGUGGCGAAGGCGGCCUUCUGGACGAUGACUGACGCUGAGACGCGAAAGCGUGGGGAGCAAACAGGAUUAGAUACCCUGGUAGUCCACGCCGUAAACGGUGCGCACUAGGUGUCGGGGGUAUUCACCCCUCCGGUGCCGCAGCUAACGUAAUAAGUGCGCCGCCUGGGAAGUACGGCCGCAAGGCUA